GCACUGUCGUAGGCUAUACAUGCAGUCGAGCGAAUGGAUUAAGAGCUUGCUCUUAUGAAGUUAGCGGCGGACGGGUGAGUAACACGUGGGUAACCUGCCCAUAAGACUGGGAUAACUCCGGGAAACCGGGGCUAAUACCGGAUAACAUUUUGAACCGCAUGGUUCGAAAUUGAAAGGCGGCUUCGGCUGUCACUUAUGGAUGGACCCGCGUCGCAUUAGCUAGUUGGUGAGGUAACGGCUCACCAAGGCAACGAUGCGUAGCCGACCUGAGAGGGUGAUCGGCCACACUGGGACUGAGACACGGGCCAGACUCCUACGGGAGGCAGCAGUAGGGAAUCUUCAUACGCAACUUGAGAAGAAAUCCCCUCAUUGAUUGAGUCAUCGGCCGCGCUGAGUGAUGAUGACUUGCGGGUCGUAAAACUCUGAUUGUUGAUGGAAGAACCAAAUGCUAGAUGGAUAAGCUGGCAACCUGACAGGAUACGUAAUCAAGAAAGCCAUCGGCUAUCUACGUGCCAGCAGCCGCGGUAAUACGUUAGUUGGUAAGCGGUAUCGGCAAUUAUGGGGCGUAAAGCGCGCGCAGGUGGAUUUAUUAAGUCUGAUGUGAAAGCCCACGGCUCAACCCGUGGAUGGGUCAUUGGAAAACUGGGAGAGCUAGAGUGCAGAAGAGGAAAGUGGAAGUUCCAUGUGUAGCGGUGAGAUGCGUAGAGAUAUGGAGGAACACCAGUGGCGAAGGCGACUUUCUGGUCUGUAACUGACACUGACGCGCGAAAGCGUGGGGAGCAAACAGGAUUAGAUACCCUGGUAGUCCACGCCGUAAACGAUGAGUGCUAAGUGUUAGAGGGUUUCGGCCCUUUAGUGCUGAAGUUAACGCAUUAAGCACUCCGCCUUGGGCAGUAACGGCCGCCAAGGCUGAAUCUCAAAGGAAAUUGACGGGGGCGCGCACAAGCUGUGGAGCAUGUGGUCUAAUUCGAAGCAACGCGAAGAAACUUACCAGGUCUUGACAUCCUCUGACGACCCUAGAAGUAGGGCUUCUCCGUCUGUAGCAGAAUGACAAGUGGUGCAUGCCUGUCGUCAGCUCGUGUCUUGAUAUGUUGGGUUUAGUCCCCCCACGAGCGCAUCACUUCGAUCGUAGUUGCUAUCAAUUAGUGGGGCACUCUUACGUCACUGCCGCGUGACCAACCGGAGAAUCCGGGGGAUGGCGUCCAAACCUCAACUCCCCUAUGACUUGGUCCCCCCCCCUGCGAUCAAUGGACGGUACAAAGAGCUGCAAGACCGCGAGGUGGAGCUAAUCUCAUAAAACCGUUCUCAGUUCGGAUUGUAGGCUGCAACUCGCCUACAUGAAGCUGGAAUCGCUAGUAAUCGCGGAUCAGCAUGCCGCGGUGAAUACGUUCCCGGGCCUUGUACACACCGCCCGUCACACCACGAGAGUUUGUAACACCCGAAGUCGGUGGGGUAACCUUUUUGGAGCCAGCCGCCUAAGGUGGGACAGAUGAUUGGGGCGAAGUCGAACAAUGAGACUACC
rnacentral:rRNA from 1 species